rnacentral:rRNA from 1 species
GGGACACGUGGUAUCCUGUCUGAAUAUGGGGGGACCAUCCUCCAAGGCUAAAUACUCCUGACUGACCGAUAGUGAACCAGUACCGUGAGGGAAAGGCGAAAAGAACCCCGGCGAGGGGAGUGAAAAAGAACCUGAAACCGUGUACGUACAAGCAGUGGGAGCCUCUUUUAUGGGGUGACUGCGUACCUUUUGUAUAAUGGGUCAGCGACUUAUAUUCUGUAGCAAGGUUAACCGAAUAGGGGAGCCGAAGGGAAACCGAGUCUUAACUGGGCGUUAAGUUGCAGGGUAUAGACCCGAAACCCGGUGAUCUAGCCAUGGGCAGGUUGAAGGUUGGGUAACACUAACUGGAGGACCGAACCGACUAAUGUUGAAAAAUUAGCGGAUGACUUGUGGCUGGGGGUGAAAGGCCAAUCAAACCGGGAGAUAGCUGGUUCUCCCCGAAAGCUAUUUAGGUAGCGCCUCGUGAACUCAUCUCCGGGGGUAGAGCACUGUUUCGGCAAGGGGGUCAUCCCGACUUACCAACCCGAUGCAAACUGCGAAUACCGGAGAAUGUUAUCACGGGAGACACACGGCGGGUGCUAACGUCCGUCGUGAAGAGGGAAACAACCCAGACCGCCAGCUAAGGUCCCAAAGUCAUGGUUAAGUGGGAAACGAUGUGGGAAGGCCCAGACAGCCAGGAUGUUGGCUUAGAAGCAGCCAUCAUUUAAAGAAAGCGUAAUAGCUCACUGGUCGAGUCGGCCUGCGCGGAAGAUGUAACGGGGCUAAACCAUGCACCGAAGCUGCGGCAGCGACACUAUGUGUUGUUGGGUAGGGGAGCGUUCUGUAAGCCUGUGAAGGUGUGCUGUGAGGCAUGCUGGAGGUAUCAGAAGUGCGAAUGCUGACAUAAGUAACGAUAAAGCGGGUGAAAAGCCCGCUCGCCGGAAGACCAAGGGUUCCUGUCCAACGUUAAUCGGGGCAGGGUGAGUCGACCCCUAAGGCGAGGCCGAAAGGCGUAGUCGAUGGGAAACAGGUUAAUAUUCCUGUACUUGGUGUUACUGCGAAGGGGGGACGGAGAAGGCUAUGUUGGCCGGGCGACGGUUGUCCCGGUUUAAGCGUGUAGGCUGGUUUUCCAGGCAAAUCCGGAAAAUCAAGGCUGAGGCGUGAUGACGAGGCACUACGGUGCUGAAGCAACAAAUGCCCUGCUUCCAGGAAAAGCCUCUAAGCAUCAGGUAACAUCAAAUCGUACCCCAAACCGACACAGGUGGUCAGGUAGAGAAUACCAAGGCGCUUGAGAGAACUCGGGUGAAGGAACUAGGCAAAAUGGUGCCGUAACUUCGGGAGAAGGCACGCU